CGGGGUGUGGCCUAAUGGUUAAGGCGCGUGGUUUGGGACCACGAGAUUGCCGGUUCGAAUCCGGCCACCCCGA
rnacentral:tRNA from 1 species